rnacentral:rRNA from 1 species
AUUGAACGCUGGCGGCAUGCCUUACACAUGCAAGUCGAACGGUAACAGGUCUUCGGAUGCUGACGAGUGGCGAACGGGUGAGUAAUACAUCGGAACGUGCCCGAUCGUGGGGGAUAACGAAGCGAAAGCUUUGCUAAUACCGCAUACGAUCUACGGAUGAAAGCAGGGGACCGCAAGGCCUUGCGCGAACGGAGCGGCCGAUGGCAGAUUAGGUAGUUGGUGGGAUAAAAGCUUACCAAGCCGACGAUCUGUAGCUGGUCUGAGAGGACGACCAGCCACACUGGGACUGAGACACGGCCCAGACUCCUACGGGAGGCAGCAGUGGGGAAUUUUGGACAAUGGGCGAAAGCCUGAUCCAGCCAUGCCGCGUGCAGGAUGAAGGCCUUCGGGUUGUAAACUGCUUUUGCACGGAACGAAAAGACUCUGGUUAAUACCUGGGGUCCAUGACGGUACCGUAAGAAUAAGCACCGGCUAACUACGUG